UACGGAGGGGGCUAGCGUUGUUCGGAAUUACUGGGCGUAAAGCGCGCGUAGGCGGCUUUGUAAGUUAGAGGUGAAAGCCCGGAGCUCAACUCCGGAAUUGCCUUUAAGACUGCAUCGCUAGAAUCAUGGAGAGGUGAGUGGAAUUCCGAGUGUAGAGGUGAAAUUCGUAGAUAUUCGGAAGAACACCAGUGGCGAAGGCGGCUCACUGGACCGGUUCUGACGCUGAGGCGCGAAAGCGUGGGGAGCAAACGGG
rnacentral:rRNA from 1 species